rnacentral:lncRNA from 1 species
GCGCGCCUGUAGUCCCAGCUACUCGGGAGGCUGAGGCAGAAGAAUCGCUUGAAGCCGGGAGGCAAAGGUUGCAGUGACCCGAGAUUGCGCUACUGCACUCCAGCCUGGGCGACAGAGCGAGGUUCCGUCUCGAAAAAAAAAACAACGAAAAGGGGACUCACUUCGGAGAAGCUGCCCUCUCUGCAAACUUAUUUGAGGAUGUGGUCUUGCUAUGUUGCCCGGGCUGAGUGCAGUGACUAUUCACAGGCCGGAUCUAGUGCACUGCAGUCUUGAACUCCUGGCUUACAGUCCUGCUGGUUCUGAGAGGCAGGGGAAGA